rnacentral:lncRNA from 1 species
GUGGAAACAAGGCUAGGUGAUUAAGGGAGAAAGGGAGAGUCUGAAAACAAGGUUAGGUAUUACAAUGUCAAUAAAAUUGGUCUCCUUAUACAGUACUAUGGUAGAUUUCUUUCCAUCUUUAAUCUCCCUCUAGCACCACCAGACUUUUUCUCUCUGUACCUUGAGAUGUAAAUUUUGCUAUCUGAAUUUUCGUCUAAGAGUUGUUUCCUUUAAUAUGCAAAUUUAGGGUUAUUUAGCUGACAACUGCCAAAGUAGUGAAACAAGUUAUCAAGAACUUGAACGUCUAAGGACAUGAAACUUCACAACCUGCUAAAAAUGAACUUUCCUAAUAACUCAGAACCUACCUGUCUAGGAAUAAACCAUCCUAGCCUUGAGCAAUCAGAUGAAACCUGGGACCAGAGACUCAUUUUCUUCUAAAAUGCUUUCUCUAAAAGAUUUUUAAAAAGAAAAGGGGGGAAAUGUGAAAGGAAAAUAAAUCUUGGGGCCUCCAAAUCACAAAGCUAAAGGAAAAAGUCAAGCUGGGAACUUCUUAGGGCAAACCUGCCUGUCUUUCUAUUCAAAGUCAUCCCUCUGCUCACUGAGAUAAUUGCACAUCUGAUUGCCUCCUUUGGAAAGGAUAAUCAGAAACUCAAAGAAUGCAACUGUUUGUCUCUCACCUACCUGUGACAUGGAAGCCCCCUCCCUGCUUCAAGUUGUCCUGCCUUUCUAGGCAGAACCAGUGUACAUCUUACAUAUAUUGAUUGAUGACUUACGUCUCCCUAAAAUAUAUAAAACCAAGCUGUGCUCUUACCACCUUGGGCACAUGUGGUCAGGACCUCCUGAUGCUCUUGUCGUGAGUGGGUGGGUGUUCUCAACCUUGGAAAAAUAAACUUUCUAAAUUAACUGAGACCUGGGUCAGAUUUUUGGGGUUCACAGCAACAAUUUAAAAAACUCACCAUUGACCUGAAAUUUUGACCUUAUGCUGUUCCUCACACUCAGCCAUGAAAAUAGACACCAUCCUAUGAGCUCCCUCAGCCAUGUCCUGCCACACUUCCAACAUGUGUCCCCAUCCACCAUCUGUUUUCUUAUUGCUGCAUCCUACCCAGGCCCUGAUCUCUGGACCCAUUGUUGUAUAAUUAAGAAUUUGGGGCUGGGCAUGGUGGCUGUGGCUCAC